CGGGCUUUAGGCCAGGUCAUAAACCAAACCUGCCUCCACCAUGCAGAGAGACGCCCUCUCCUGAUUCCCCCACCCUCAGGAAUGAGGAGGAUGUGACUGGCGGAAGGCCAUGCUAGAGAAGACGCAGAAAUGGAAAGGCCAGCUCUGUCUUUCACUCUGGGGGAGUGUGGGGAGGAGGACAACUGACAGACAUGUCCCCCCUUUCUGUCCUCUUCAGGUGAAACCCAGAGGUGGUAAAAAUGCCCAGGUAUGUUUGAGGCAGCAGAGAAGACUGCCGGGAGAGUGGAGAAGGCUGAAGUCUUACUUAAGAAACUCAGCAUGUGGUCCUGUCCCACACGGUUUAGGCAGCAGCAAGCUGCUGUUGGACAGGUGAGUGCCUCACUUUGCCUCACCCUGAUCCCAGGCCUGCCACGAAGCAUCAGAAUCACUCAAGGGUCUGGCCCGGUGGUGCAGUGGUUAAGUGUGCACGUUCCACUUCGGCAGCUGGGGGUUCGCCAGUUUGGAUCCCGGGUAUAGACAUGGCAGCGCUUGGCAAAAGCUAUGCUGUGGUAGGUGUCCCACGUAUAAAGUAGAGGAAGAUGGGAAUGGAUGUUAGCUCAGGGCCAGUCUUCCUCAGCAAAAAGAGGAAGAUUGGCAGCAGUUAGCUCAGGGCUAAUCUUCCUCAAAAAAAAAAAAGAGUCACUCAAGUCCCCAGCCCAUGACCCCUUGCUAGGCAUCCUACACACCUGGUGCGAACCUGGCAGACACCACGCACUGGCAGCCACGACUGCCCCUCCUCUUAGCUGACACAUCAUGGUUCUUCUGCC
rnacentral:lncRNA from 1 species